CAAAAAAAAAAAAAAAAAAAAAGCACUUGGAUUAAAAAAGGAAAAGCAAGCUGCUUUCAGUAUGUUUACAGUCAGAUGUGGUGCGUGUAAUUAAGUUUCUUUUCUGUGAAUGAUCAGUUUGGGCAUUUCCUGACCCCCCUUCCUUUAACAUGACUUUCACUUUUAAUCUGCAGACAUCCCUGUUCCUGUUCUCACCCCGUGAAUGCAGGAAAACAAAAACAGUUCCGAAUUUGCCGAAGACAAAUAUUCAGUGGAGGGCACUCAGUGUAUCACAAACUAGAACAUUAGCACCAACAAGCUCCAAAGCAUCAUCACUCUCUGGAAAGCCUUCUGAAUUAGACAAGAGCUGCCUCUCAGCACAGCUACAAAACACUUUAAACCUGACCAGCUAAAUGGAGAAACCUUGCCUGCGUAGCUUUUAAACCGGGCUCUCCCCCAGCACGGGAGGCCUGCCUGCUCCGGGAGCUGGGAAGCCGGAGGAUGGAUCGCUGUGGCUGGGAAUGGCAAAAGGCAGCAGAAUGAGAGAUGCUAGGGAACUUUGUGUGGGUUACUGGCAUGCACGCUGGAUGGCGGUGAUGUGAGUGGCAACCGUGCUGUGACAUGAAGAUGCUGCUGGUUUAAGGCAAAAGAGACCGGUUUGAAAAAGAGAGAGGCAAAGGGAAGGCAAAAAGGGAAGAGAGAGAAGAAAACAGCUGGAGAGAGGAAAAGGAGGGCAUUUGUUGAUGACAAAAGGAUGGGUUUCCAUUUAAUUAAGCAGCUGAGAGGCAUGAGUGUGGUGUUAGUGCUACUUCCUAUGGUGCUGUUUGUUAUGCUUGCGGGGGCUCAGCGAGCUUGCCCCAAGAACUGCAGAUGCGAUGGCAAGAUUGUGUACUGCGAAUCUCACGCAUUCAGAGACAUCCCUCAGAAUAUUUCUGGAGGGUCUCAAGGCUUAUCGUUACGGUACAACAGCAUUCAGAAGCUUAAAUCAAAUCAGUUUGCGGGCCUGAAUCAGCUCAUAUGGCUUUAUCUUGACCAUAAUUACAUCAGCUCCGUGGAUGAGGAUGCAUUUCAGGGGAUCCGCAGGCUGAAGGAAUUAAUUCUAAGCUCCAACAAAAUUACCCAUCUGCACAACAAAACGUUUCACCCAGUCCCCAACCUCCGCAACCUGGACCUCUCGUACAACAAGUUGCAGGUGUUGCAGUCCGAGCAGUUCAAGGGCCUCCGUAAACUCUUGAUCUUGCAUUUGCGGUCUAACUCGCUGAAGACCGUCCCGAUCCGAGUUUUCCAAGAUUGCCGAAACCUCGAUUUUCUGGAUUUAGGCUACAACCGCCUGCGGAGCUUAUCCCGUAAUGCUUUCGCUGGCCUUUUGAAGUUGACGGAGCUCCAUUUGGAGCACAACCAGUUUUCUAAGAUCAAUUUUGCCCACUUCCCACGCCUCUUCAACCUUCGCUCGAUUUACUUGCAGUGGAAUAGGAUCCGGUCUAUCAGCCAAGGGUUAACGUGGACUUGGAGUUCCUUGCACAACUUGGAUUUAUCAGGAAAUGACAUUACAGGGAUAGAGCCCGGGACGUUCCAGUGCCUCCCCAACCUCCAAAAGCUGAACCUGGAUUCCAACAAACUCACCAACAUCUCUCAGGAGACCAUCAACACGUGGAUCUCGCUCAUCUCCAUCACUCUGUCCGGAAAUAUGUGGGAAUGUACUCGAAGCAUUUGCCCUCUGUUCACUUGGCUAAAGAAUUUCAAGGGAAAUAAAGAGAGCACUAUGAUAUGUGCAGGCCCUAAACAUAUCCAGGGCGAAAAAGUGAGCGAUGCCGUGGAAACAUAUAAUAUCUGUGCUGAAAUCCAGGUGGUGGUUACUGAGAGAUCCUAUCAGGCGCCCAAAACCCCUCAGAGACCCGUCUUUAUUCCUAAACCCACCGUUUCCAAACUUGAAAGCAAUCAGCCAACAUCCGUGAUGCCGAGCCCUUCUGCAGACCUCCCGACGCCUGCAGUGGAGCCAGAGUACGAGCAUGUUUCCUUUCACAAAAUAAUCGCGGGGAGCGUGGCCCUCUUUCUUUCCGUGGCCAUGAUUUUGUUGGUUAUCUACGUGUCGUGGAAGCGCUACCCAGCCAGCAUGAAACAGCUCCAGCAGCACUCUCUCAUGAAGAGGCGCAGGAAAAAGGCCAGAGAGUCUGAAAGGCAAAUGAACUCCCCUUUACAGGAGUAUUACGUGGACUACAAGCCAACAAACUCUGAGACCAUGGAUGUAUCCGUUAAUGGAUCUGGGCCCUGCACGUAUACCAUCUCUGGCUCCAGGGAAUGUGAGGUUCCUCACCACAUGAAGACUUUACCCUAUUACAGUUACGACCAACCGGUGAUCGGAUACUGCCAAGCCCACAAGCCUCUCCAUGUAAAUAAGGGGUACGACACCAUGUCCCGGGAGCAGGCUGAGACGACCAACCUGGAACUCAGUCGAGACCACAGCUUCAUAGCUACGAUUGCGCGUUCGGCUGCUCCAGCCAUUUACAUUGAGAGAAUACCAAACUAAUGACGGAGGCGACUUCUUCAGGGGGCGGAGUGGGGAGUUCUUUUGAGGGACCUUUCAUCUCAGAAGAGACCAGGGCAAGAAGCUAAAAUCUACCAUUCCAGUUACAAAUGUUCCAACACAGACAAAGGGAAGGGGAUAAAGCAAACUCCGCAGACUGUGGAAAUGCUGUCGUGCAGUACACACUGAGAACUUCAGGAUUUUCUUUGCUUUAAACUUUCAAACAAAUUCCUCAAUGUAAAUAUUAAAGAGAGAUUGUCGAGUUCUUAUUAAAAAAAAAUAGAUUUCACUCUAGCUACAUAAAGGGAUGGAUUAAGAGUUUUGUUUGUAUAUUUGAUUUUUCUACAUUGCACGGUUCCAGGGAAGGAGAACCACAGUGGUCAAACGCUAGUAUUUCAAACCAGACAUGGGCAUUAAAGCUUAUGUUGAACCAAAAGGACAUUGGCAAUUGAUGCAGCAGAAACAAAGAAACUUGGGUGCAUGUACAUUUAAGAGACAGGCUGUACACUAUGGAGGGUGCUUUUGAUUUUUACUAUCUUCAUUGUGCUUCAUUGUUGACACUAUAAUUACUUUUCGGGCUCUAAAAAAAGGGGAAAACAUGCAAAUGGUGUAUCGACUCUCAUAUUUACAGUCCAGCGGUGCCGUAAGCAAAAUUAAUGGACAUUUGGGAACCAAAAUGGAAGUGAUGUGCUUGAAAUGGAUCAGAAGGAAAAUCUUUAAAAGCAAGAGUGUUUUGGUGAAACUCACUGGCUGACACAAUUUCUAAAACACAGGAGAAUGUGUAACAUUGUUUUUUGUUUUUUUAAUUAAUUAUUAUGAUCAGUUAGUUUUUGUGUAGUUUUUAUCAAUAAAAUGACAACAACAAAAAAAAAGUGGUGGAAAAAAAAUAAACAUAUUAUUUUGU